GAUGAACGCUGGCGGCGUGCCUAAUACAUGCAAGUCGAGCGAACAGACGAGGAGCUUGCUCCUCUGACGUUAGCGGCGGACGGGUGAGUAACACGUGGAUAACCUACCUAUAAGACUGGGAUAACUUCGGGAAACCGGAGCUAAUACCGGAUAAUAUAUUGAACCGCAUGGUUCAAUAGUGAAAGACGGUUUUGCUGUCGCUUAUAGAUGGAUCCGCGCCGCAUUAGCUAGUUGGUAAGGUAACGGCUUACCAAGGCAACGAUGCGUAGCCGACCUGAGAGGGUGAUCGGCCACACUGGAACUGAGACACGGUCCAGACUACUACGGGAGGCAGCAGUAGGGAAUCGUCCGCAAUGGGCGAAAGCAUGACGGAGCAACGCCGCGUGAGUGAUGAAGGUCUUCGGAUCGUAAAACUCUGUUAUUAGGGAAGAACAAAUGUGUAAGUAACUAUGCACGUCUUGACGGUACCUAAUCAGAAAGCCACGGCUAACUACGUG
rnacentral:rRNA from 1 species